UACGUAGGGGGCAAGCGUUGUCCGGAAUCAUUGGGCGUAAAGAGCGCGUAGGCGGCCCAGUAAGUCCGCUCUGAAAGUCAGGGGCUCAACCCCUGAAUGCGGGUGGAUACUGCUGGGCUAGAGUCCGGAAGAGGCGAGUGGAAUUCCUGGUGUAGCGGUGAAAUGCGCAGAUAUCAGGAAGAACACCAAUGGCGAAAGCAGCUUUCUGGGACGGUACUGACGCUGAGACGCGAAAGCGUGGGGAGCGAACAGG
rnacentral:rRNA from 1 species